rnacentral:rRNA from 1 species
GCUGAAGCCAGUCGAAGAUACCAGCUGGCUGCAACUGUUUAUUAAAAACACAGCACUGUGCAAACACGAAAGUGGACGUAUACGGUGUGACGCCUGCCCGGUGCUGGAAGGUUAAUUGAUGGGGUUAGCCGUAAGGCGAAGCUCCUGAUCGAAGCCCCAGUAAACGGCGGCCGUAACUAUAACGGUCCUAAGGUAGCGAAAUUCCUUGUCGGGUAAGUUCCGACCUGCACGAAUGGCGUAAUGAUGGCCAGGCUGUCUCCACCCGAGACUCAGUGAAAUUGAACUCGCUGUGAAGAUGCAGUGUACCCGCGGCAAGACGGAAAGACCCCGUGAACCUUUACUAUAGCUUGACACUGAACAUUGAGCCUUGAUGUGUAGGAUAGGUGGGAGGCUUUGAAGUGUGGACGCCAGUCUGCAUGGAGCCAACCUUGAAAUACCACCCUUUAACGUUUGAUGUUCUAACCUAGGCCCAUAAACUGGGUCGGGGACCGUGUCUGGUGGGUAGUUUGACUGGGGCGGUCUCCUCCUAAAGAGUAACGGAGGAGCACGAAGGUUGGCUAAGCAUGGUCGGACAUCAUGCGGUUAGUGCAAAGGCAUAAGCCAGCUUGACUGCGAGAGUGACGGCUCGAGCAGGUACGAAAGUAGGUCUUAGUGAUCCGGUGGUUCUGAAUGGAAGGGCCAUCGCUCAACGGAUAAAAGGUACUCCGGGGAUAACAGGCUGAUACCGCCCAAGAGUUCAUAUCGACGGCGGUGUUUGGCACCUCGAUGUCGGCUCAUCACAUCCUGGGGCUGAAGUAGGUCCCAAGGGUAUGGCUGUUCGCCAUUUAAAGUGGUACGCGAGCUGGGUUUAGAACGUCGUGAGACAGUUCGGUCCCUAUCUGCCGUGGGCGUUGGAAGAUUGAGAGGGGUUGCUCCUAGUACGAGAGGACCGGAGUGAACGCACCACUGGUGUUCGGGUUGUCAUGCCAAUGGCAUUGCCCGGUAGCUAAGUGCGGAAGAGAUAACCGCUGAAAGCAUCUAAGCGGGAAACUUGCCUCGAGAUGAGUCUUCCCUGUCGCUUUAAGCGACCUAAAGGAACGUUUAAGACUAAGACGUUGAUAGGCUGGGUGUGUAAGCGUAGCGAUACGUUGAGCUAACCAGUACUAAUGAACCGUGAGGCUUAACCUG